UUGACCUCGGAUCAGGUAGGGAUACCCGCUGAACUUAAGCAUAUCAAUAAGCGGAGGAAAAGAAACCAACAGGGAUUGCCUCAGUAACGGCGAGUGAAGCGGCAAGAGCUCAAAUUUGAAAGCUGGCUCCUUCGGGGUCCGCAUUGUAAUUUGCAGAGGAUGCUUCGGGAGCGGCCCCCAUCUAAGUGCCCUGGAACGGGCCGUCAUAGAGGGUGAGAAUCCCGUCUGGGAUGGGGUGCCCGCGCCCGUGUGAAGCUCCUUCGACGAGUCGAGUUGUUUGGGAAUGCAGCUCUAAAUGGGUGGUAAAUUUCAUCUAAAGCUAAAUACUGGCCGGAGACCGAUAGCGCACAAGUAGAGUGAUCGAAAGAUGAAAAGCACUUUGAAAAGAGAGUUAAACAGCACGUGAAAUUGUUGAAAGGGAAGCGCUUGCGACCAGACUCGCUCGCGGGGUUCAGCCGGCCUUCGGGCCGGUGUACUUCCCCGCGGGCGGGCCAGCGUCGGUUUGGGCGGCCGGUCAAAGGCCCUCGGAAUGUAACGCCCCCCGGGGCGUCUUAUAGCCGAGGGUGCCAUGCGGCCAGCCCGGACCGAGGAACGCGCUUCGGCUCGGACGCUGGCAUAAUGGUCGUAAGCGACC
rnacentral:rRNA from 1 species